rnacentral:sRNA from 1 species
GGCGAGCCGGACGCCGGCGAGAAACCUGCUCAGUCCUGAGCCGGGAACGCCAGGUCGAAGCGGAUGCGUCCCGGAGCCGGUGCACUCGCUUCGGCGCGGCCGCCGUGCAGGCGCAUGAUCGCCUGGACGAUGGCCAGGCCGAGACCGCUGGACUGGGCGUCGCUGCGCGCGGCGUCGCCACGGUAGAAACGGUCGAACAGGCGCGACAGCGGUUCGGCCGGCAGCCUGUCGCAGGCGUUCUCCACGCUCAGCAGGAAUUCCCCCGAUCGGCGCAGGCCGCGCACUUCGAUCAGGCUGUCGGCGCUGGCGUAGCGGAUGGCGUUGGCCAGCAGGUUGCUCAGCGCCCGGCGGAACAGUUGCGGAUCGGCGCGUAGCUGGCCGCUGACCUGGAUGUCGAGGCUCAGCCCUCGUUCCUCGGCCAGCCCUUCGAAAUACUCCGCCUGGCGCCGCAGCUCUUCGCCCAGGUCCAGGCGGCUGCGCUCCACCGCUGCCCGCACGUCGUCGGCGCGAGCGAGGAACAGGAUGCUCUCGACCAUCCGCGCGAUGCGCUCCAGCUCUUCCUGGUUGGAGGCGAUCAGCGCCUGGUACUCCUCGUUGCUGCGCGGCUGGCGCAGGGCCACCUGGCCGUGGCCCAUCAGCGAACCGAUGGGCGUGCGGAUCUCAUGGGCGAGGUCGGCGGAGAACUGCUGCAGGCGCUGGUAGCCGUCGUCGAGGCGUUCGAGCAUGGCGUUGAACGACUGUGCCACCUGCUGCAACUCGGCAGGCGCGGCGGCGACGUCGAGGCGGGUAUCCAGGCUGGUCGGAUGGAUCUCCGCCGCCUUCGCCGCCAGCGUGCGCAGCGGGCGCAGGCCGUGGCGCAGGACCAGCCAGCCGAGCAGGGCGGUGCCGAGGAACGCCAGCA